CUACGUGCCAGCAGCCGCGGUAAUACGGAGGGUGCAAGCGUUAAUCGGAAUUACUGGGCGUAAAGCGCACGCAGGCGGUCUGUCAAGUCGGAUGUGAAAUCCCCGGGCUCAACCUGGGAACUGCAUUCGAAACUGGUAGUCUUGAGUGCAGACAGGGAUGCUGGAACUCGUGGUGUAGCGGUGAAAUGCUUAGAUAUCACGAUGAACUCCGAUCGCGAAGGCAGGUGUCCGGGCUGCAACUGACGCUGAGGCUCGAAAGUGUGGGUAUCAAACAGGAUUAGAUACCCUGGUAGUCCACACAGUAAACGAUGUAUACUCGCGGUUUGCGAUAGACAGUAAGCCGCCAAGCGAAAGCAUUAAGUAUACCACCUGGGGAGUACGCCGGCAACGGUGAAACUCAAAGGAAUUGACGGGGGCCCGCACAAGCGGAGGAACAUGUGGUUUAAUUCGAUGAUACGCGAGGAACCUUACCCGGGCUUGAAC
rnacentral:rRNA from 1 species